CAUUUAAAUUUCCUGACUCCCAGUCCCUCUUUCUACCUCAUUUUUUCCAGAUGAGUCUAUAGAAUGGUUCUCUCACCAGUGACUGAGGCAGUCAACAGAACUGAAAUAUUGUGUACAUAUUUUUCCUACAAUGAACUUUCUUCUUAUGUUUAAAUCUCAUCCACACAUCAUACAUUGUGAUGGCAAUUGUCAUUGUAGACCCGAUUCUGGUGUUACACUAGUGCAGCUCAACUGACUUCUGCUUUACAGCUAGCACACAGUAGCAGCUGAAACACACUGAAACAGUUUCUCCAAAUGAAACAGACAAUAGCUCUGGUGUGUUGGAUAGUACAUG